rnacentral:rRNA from 1 species
UACGUAGGAGGCAAGCGUUGUCCGGAGUUACUGGGCGUAAAGCGCACGCAGGCGGUCCAAUCAGUCUGUAGGGACAGGGCACAGCUCAACUGUGUCAGGCUUACGGAAACUGUUGGACUUGAGGGCUUCAGAGGGAUGGGGAAUUCCGGGUGGAGUGGUGAAAUGCGCAGAUAUCAGGAGGAACACCGGUGGCGAAGGCGCUGCUCUGGGCCGGUACUGACGCUGAGGAGCGAAAGCGUGGGUAGCAAACAGG